AGUGGAAUAGCUGGAUCAUAUGGUAAAUUCAUUCCUAAUAUUUUGAGGAAUAUUCAUACUACUUUCCAAAGUGGCUGUACUAAUUUGCAGUCCCACCAAAAAU
rnacentral:pre_miRNA from 1 species